rnacentral:lncRNA from 1 species
CACAAAUACAAAGCAGAGAGCAAAUUGGUGGUAAAACUGAGCAACCCAAGUGAGGAAAAUGGCAUCAGUCAACCCAGAGCCAGAGAAGGCAAUGAAGAAGAAGCCAAAGAUUGCAUCUGUGUUUCCAGCAAAGAGGAGGUCAGUGAAAAAGAUGAUGUUUGAUUCCAUUGUCCAAUCUGUGUCCUCUUCUCUCCCUCCUCACCCUCCUCUCCCUCGUUCAUCAGAUCCCAACAAGACUGAUACCAUAUCAUAGGACUAAUUGUGUGUUUUACAAUCAAAAAUCAAUAGAAUUGUAUAAAUACCAAAUAAGUCCUUGCGAUGGUCAUGUAUCAGAAUUUGCCCUAAUACUAUUAAAAAGGGCUUGUAAUGUUUUCUUGUCUGUGCUGUGUGUAAUUAAAGUUUUAAUUAUUCAUUUCUAAUCAAUUGCCCAAUUGAUAUAUAAUGUGUAGCAUUGGGG